rnacentral:rRNA from 1 species
ACGGAAGGCAGCAGCUAAGAAUAUUCCGCAAUGGACGAAAGUCUGACGGAGCGACGCCGCGUGGACGAUGAAGGCCGGAAGGUUGUAAAGUCCUUUUAAGCAUGGCGAAUAAGCAGUGCAGGCAAUGGCAUUGUGGUGACGGUAGUGCUUGAAUAAGCAACGGCUAAUUACGUGCCAGCAGCCGCGGUAAUACGUAAGUUGCGAGCGCUGUUCGGAAUUAUUGGGAGUAAAGGGCAUGUAGGCGGAUAUGCAAGCUUGGUGUGAAAGGCGGGAGCUUAACUCCCGGACUGCGUUGAGAACUGCAGAACUAGAGUGACUGAGGGGCAGGCAGAAUUCCAGGUGUAGGGGUGAAAUCUGUAGAUAGCUGGAAGAAUACCGAUGGCGAAGGCAGCCUGCCAGCAGAUGACUGACGCUGAGGUGCGAAGGUGAGGGGAGCAAACAGGAUUAGAUACCCUGGUA